UACGUAGGGAGCAAGCGUUGUCCGGAAUCAUUGGGCGUAAAGCGCGCGUAGGCGGCCCGAUAAGUCCGCUGUAAAAGUCAACGGCUCAACUGUUGAAAGCCGGUGGAUACUGUCGGGCUAGAGUACGGAAGAGGCAAGUGGAAUUCCUGGUGUAGCGGUGAAAUGCGCAGAUAUCGGGAAGAACACCCGUGGCGAAGGCGGUUCUCUGGGACGGUACUGACGCUGAGACGCGAAAGCGUGGGGAGCGAACAGG
rnacentral:rRNA from 1 species